AUGUCCCUAUAAUGGCGGCCAUAUUGGACCAGGAUGUCCCCAACAUGGCGGCCAAUGAAGAUAAAGAUGUCCCCAACACGGCGGCCAUAUUGGACCAGGAAGUGUCCAACAGAGCGGCCAUAUUAGACCAGGAUGUCCCCAUCAUGGCGGCCAUAUUGGACCAAGAUGUCCCCAAUAUGGCGGACAUUGAGGACAAAGAUGUCCCCAUCAUGGCGGCCAAUG
rnacentral:lncRNA from 1 species